GCUCCUUUUCGAGAUAUUUGAUUUAUAAAAUAUGGCGGGAAAAGGCUGACUCGGACUUUUACCUUAAUUUUGCAUUGGUAUUAUUUGGGUCUCAAAUCAAAAGAAAGAAAAUCAAGAAUCUGCUUAAAUUUUGUUAAAUGACCUUUUAUGAAUUAUAAAGUCUUAUGUUAAAAGAUAAAUAGGUGUUAUGGGGCAAAAUAUUUUUACAUUGUAUCGUAUGAAAAACACCGAGGAGUCCGAACAUUUGACACUUAUUCCAAAACCUCACCUAAGUACAUCCUUAACAGCAUAAAUAUGUUUUCCUUAGGUUAACUUACUAUUUGUUAUAGUAGUACCAUCAACGUCCUUUUCUUCCGAGGGAAUGUUUUCAUGUGCACUACUUGAAACAAAAAAUAGAAAGUCAAAACAGUCUUUCGUCUGAAACUG
rnacentral:lncRNA from 1 species